UGUUAAUAGAUAUUUUUAAAUUAUUUACAGAAAUCAAGUGUUUAACACGAAGUUGAAAUUUUGAAUUAAAAUGGCGCUCUCCGAUCAUUCAAAAUGACAAGUCGUCUCUGGAGAGUUCUGGAGGCCAAUCCACACAGACUUACAUAUUAGUACAACACAACAUCACGUUAUACGAUCGACGAAAUAAAAAUAUAUUUCAGCGUGCGACUGAAUUGGAAUGUUUUAUCGUUUAUUAUUAAACCGAUCGAUCUCUGAUGAUGAUGAUGAUGAUUAAUGAUGAUUAGAAUGAUGAUUAGAAUGAUGAUGAUAAUGAGAAUGAUGAUGAUGAUGAUGAUAAUGAUGAUGAUGAUGAUGAUGAACAUGGUUCCUUUCGCGUUGAGAUUAUACUAAUAUAAAUAAGCUGUGUGAUAAAAAUGAUGCAGCUAUUUUCCCGAGGAAUUUACGUGCAAUACAAAAUGGCGCAUAAGAUUUUUUCCGAGAUAAAUCUUACAUACAAUAUUACACAACACAUAAACAAACAAACAAACAAACAAACAAACACACAAACACAUACCAAGCAUUGUAAUAGCACCCAUGUAUAUAUCCGUUUAAUGUUUAAACAAAAAGAAAGAAAAAAAAAA